rnacentral:rRNA from 1 species
CCCAAACCCCCACACCUGGAUUGUAAAGCAGGCCGGCUAGAGGUGCAGUUUCAGCAGCGAAGGCAAGGCAAGAAGAAGGUGAGGUGAGGUGUAGUGACUAGCUCUAGCAUGAGUUACGAGAUCAUGAUCAUUUGAGGUUCUCGUGUGACGGUGUGCGUUCUUAGCUUCGAGAGGAGCUACGGUUACGGGCCCAGAAGGAGCCACUCCGAGCGGGUGGAGGACCACGGGUGGAACACGACGCGGUAGGAGGAGACGCGGCUGCGCAGCCACGUGCUGAUACGGCCUCUCUCCAAGCGGCCGGAGCCGUUGCGGAAGCAGGAGUUACCGCCGUCGCUCCCGCAGAUGCGGAGGGGGCGGCGCCUGAGGAAGUAGGCUAAGGUCUUCCAGCGCAAGUUCUCCUGCGGCCUCAGGCGACGGCGCCGGCUCUUCCUGCCGUUGGCGUGCCAGUGUUAGUGCCGCCAGCAGAAGCUCCGGCGCCUGGCGCCGCGCCAGCCCCCGAGACUGCAGCAGCGGCGGCCGCGAGCGCGCGAGACGACGUGCGGCCUGUACCGCUUCGCGCCGCGCACGUGGCUCCCCAGCGAGCACAUGGCGCGCGGGUUGUCGCGGCAGCGGCGCCCGACCGGGUUCCACGAGCGGCGGAGGAAGGACGGCCCGCGGGAGCUCCGGCAGAAGGGACUGCUCUGGCAGCGGCAGCGCGCGUGGCCGUACAUGUCGGAGGCGAAGCAGGUGACGCUGCGCAGGGAGCUGCACCGACGCCUCCCGUUCUGGUAUACCUUCUUGUCGGCGCCGAUGCCGAUGGAGGGGCCGGCCUACCGGGGGGAGGACCGCAAGAUGCCUCAGUACAGCGACCGCAAGCAGCGGGAGCGGCGCAAGACCAAGGACGCCAUGCGGGCCAAGACCGCCCUCCACCACGGCGAGGUCUUAAAGCAGUGCCAGCAGUAGCGCGAGCCCUACCACCUCCACUGGUGCACCAUGAACCUGGAGCGGCUCAAGUCGCUCAGGCCUCAGGCCGGCCGCCCCUGCUGGAAGACCCGCCGGUGCAGGCCCCGCCACGCGGCGUGCCACAGCGCACACGACCACGAGGAGCAGCGGUUCCCCAUGCCGCACCACGCCGGGUGAGACCCUCCCCCGCGGUCGCGGCCCCGGUCCCACCGGCCCGAGCCGCGCCGCAAGAAGCGCCGCAGGCUCCGGGAGCUCCAGUCGCUCGUGCAGCCCCGGCACUCGCUGGUGCUGGUGCGCGGCUGCUCCUCCGAGAAGGAGCACGAGUGGCAGCGGCGGGAGCUGCGCCACAAGUAGACGACCUAUAAGUCGCGCGACAGCGCUUGGUAGUCGUUCGAGUUCCGCUCUGCCUACCGCCGCUUCCACCUCUGCAUGGCCUCCGACCGUUGGAGCGACUGCUAGCGGCACCGCCACAGGGACCCGACCUAGCGCAAGCUCCAGGUGAAGUUCAGCUGCCUGCCCAUGGUCUCGCUCGCCACCGCGCACCGCACCCACUAGGGCCGCCACACCGUCGAGUAGAGGAAGCGCGAGGAGACGCGGCACACGGAGCACACCCGCGGUAGGGUGCUAAGUCGCUCCGAGCGAACGAGCCUGCUCCCGCCGCUGCCGCCGCUGCCGCUGCUGCCGCUGCUGCACCUCCUGCCGCGCGCCGGCGACUACGAGUCCUGACCCGGCGAGAGCAUGCACCUCUUGACCCGCACGAUGCACUGAGUCCUGCGGUUCUAGUAGGAGUCCUGCCUGAGGCCGCACAUACGGUUUCGGCCGCUUCUCCUGUUCGCUCAGAUUAAUUCGAGCACCCAACGCUAGAGCACACGGCAUACUGAGUGCAGUGAUUCUUGCAUCACAUUUUUUUGCAAUAUAUAAUACCCUGCUUCUCUCAUGUGCAUCUCGUGUCUACAAUCAUAUUGUACGAUUACAUCUCUGGAUAGGCACAGCAACCAAAACAAUGCGAUGCUUCACCAUUUCUUGAUGAGGGAGGUAGGGUAUUGCGUUCUGAAAAAAA